rnacentral:misc_RNA from 1 species
GAUGAAGAACGUAGCGAAAUGCGAUAAGUAGUGUGAAUUGCAGAAUUCAGUGAAUCAUCGAAUCUUUGAACGCACAUUGCGCCCCUUGGUAUUCCAUGGGGCAUGCCUGUUCGAGCGUCAUUUCAACCCUCAGGGCCCGCCUGCUUGCAGGCGCGGCGCUGGUGUUGGGGAUCGGCUACCCUGCCGUCCCCCAAAUACAGUGGCGGUCUCGCUGCAGCCUCCCUUGCGUAGUAGCAACACUCGCAUGCGGAGCGCGGCGCGGCCACGCCGUAAAACCCCCGACUUUCUGAACGUUGACCUCGGAUCAGGUAGGAAUACCCGCUGAACUUAAGCAUAUCAAUAAGCGGAGGA